UACAGAGGUCCCAAGCGUUGUUCGGAUUCAUUGGGCGUAAAGGGUGCGUAGGCGGCGCGGUAAGUCGGGUGUGAAAUCUCGGAGCUUAACUCCGAAACUGCAUUCGAUACCGCCGUGCUUGAGGACUGGAGAGGAGACUGGAAUUUACGGUGUAGCGGUGAAAUGCGUAGAUAUCGUAAGGAAGACCAGUGGCGAAGGCGGGUCUCUGGACAGUUCCUGACGCUGAGGCACGAAGGCCAGGGGAGCAAACGGG
rnacentral:rRNA from 1 species